UACGGGGGGGGCAAGCGUUGUUCGGAAUUACUGGGCGUAAAGGGUUCGUAGGUGGCUCGCUAAGUCAGACGUGAAAUCCCUCGGCUCAACCGGGGAACUGCGUCUGAGACUGGAAGGCUUGAAUUCGGGAGAGGGAUGUGGAAUUCCAGGUGUAGCGGUGAAAUGCGUAGAUAUCUGGAGGAACACCGGUGGCGAAGGCGGCAUCCUGGACCGAGAUUGACGCUGAUGCGCGAAAGCCAGGGGAGCAAACGGG
rnacentral:rRNA from 1 species